rnacentral:rRNA from 1 species
AUUGAACGCUGGCGGCAUGCCUUACACAUGCAAGUCGAACGGUAACAGGUUAAGCUGACGAGUGGCGAACGGGUGAGUAGUAUAUCGGAACGUGCCCAGUCGUGGGGGAUAACGUAGCGAAAGCUACGCUAAUACCGCAUACGAUCUACGGAUGAAAGCGGGGGAUCGCAGGACCUCGCGCGAUUGGAGCGGCGGAUAUCAGAUUAGGUUGUUGGUGAGGUAAAAGCUCACCAAGCCUGCGAUCUGUAGCUGGUCUGAGAGGACGACCAGCCACACUGGAACUGAGACACGGUCCAGCCUCCUACGGGAGGCAGCAGUGGGGAAUUUUGGACAAUGGACGCAAGUCUGAUCCAGCAAUGCCGCGUGUAGGACGAAGGCCUUCGGGUUGUAAACUGCUUUUGUACGGAACGAAACGGUGAGCUCUAAUACAGUUUGCUAAUGACGGUACCAUAAGAAUAAGCACCGGCUAACUACGUGCCAGCCGCCGCGGUAA